GUUUCUGUAGCGCAAUGAAUAGCGCAUUGGACUUCUAAUCCAAAGAUCGUGGGUUUCAAUUCCACCUGGGAUG
rnacentral:tRNA from 1 species